UGGUCAACAACAACAGAGCUAGUAUUUAUACCACUGAGAGAGACAGUGAGAAACAGAAACACAAAGAGACAGAUAAACAAAGAGAGAGAUGGGAAUAAGAGACGAGACAGAGAGGCCAUGAAGACAAUCACAACUUUUACCUUUGGACUGAAAUUACCUUCUUGUCUAUCUUCCAUCAGCUUGGACCUCCACUUCAAUUCAGGCCACUGGAACAACUUAACAUCAAGAAGGACAAGUGACAACAAUGGAUUAGCUCUGUGCCAUCAGGCGUCUCCUCCAGUGUUCAUUCAAAUCUGUAUUUCAACAAACCUGAAAAACUACGCAGGAUGGUGGUGCUGAGUGGCCCGUGGGCUGAUCUGGUUCUGUUCCUGAGACAAACGGUCACACAGCGAGAUAGAGACACAGACAGCUCUCUUGCUGUCUGGCUCUUUGUCCUGCUGCUGUUCCUGUCUGUCUCCCUGCUGCUGCUGCAACUGAUUAUCUACCUCAGCUGGAAACUCAGAGAGGUUGAGGCUGAGCUGUCGGAGUUUCCGCAGGACAGAAGCGCCAUCUACAGGCAGACAUACAGAUGUGCGCCCCUGAGGAAGAGAAGCGCCAAGUCGCAUCCACACACCUGA
rnacentral:lncRNA from 1 species